GGGGGAUAUUGCACAAUGGGGGAAACCCUGAUGCAGCGACGCCGCGUGGAGGAAGAAGGUUUUCGGAUUGUAAACUCCUGUCGUUAGGGACGAUAAUGACGGUACCUAACAAGAAAGCACCGGCUAACUACGUGCCAGCAGCCGCGGUAAAACGUAGGGUGCAAGCGUUGUCCGGAAUUACUGGGUGUAAAGGGAGCGCAGGCGGACCGGCAAGUUGGAAGUGAAAACUAUGGGCUCAACCCAUAAAUUGCUUUUGAAACUGUUCUUCUUGAGUAUCGGAGAGGCAGGCGGAAUUCCUAGUGUAGCGGUGAAAUGCGUAGAUAUUAGGAGGAACACCAGUGGCGAAGGCGGCCUGCUGGACGACAACUGACGCUGAGGCGCGAAAGCGUGGGGAGCAAACAGGGUUAGAUACCCUGGUAGUCCACGCUGUAAACGAUGAAUACUAGGUGUGGGGGGACUGACCCCUUCCGUGCCGCAGUUAACACAAUAAGUAUUCCACCUGGGGAGUACGAUCGCAAGAUUGAAACUCAAAGGAAUUGACGGGGGCCCGCACAAGCAGUGGAUUAUGUGGUUUAAUUCGACGCAACGCGAAGAACCUUACCAAGUCUUGACAUCCCUUGACGAACAUAGAAAUAUGUUUUCUCUUCGGAGCAAGGAGACAGGUGGUGCAUGGUUGUCGUCAGCUCGUGUCGUGAGAUGUUGGGUUAAGUCCCGCAACGAGCGCAACCCUUACUGUCAGUUACUACGCAAGAGGACUCUGGCAGGACUGCCGUUGACAAAACGGAGGAAGGUGGGGAUGACGUCAAAUCAUCAUGCCCUUUAUGACUUGGGCUACACACGUACUACAAUGGCGUUAAACAAAGAGAAGCAAGACCGCGAGGUGGAGCAAAACUCAGAAACAACGUCCCAGUUCGGACUGCAGGCUGCAACUCGCCUGCACGAAGUCGGAAUUGCUAGUAAUCGUGGAUCAGCAUGCCACGGUGAAUACGUUCCCG
rnacentral:rRNA from 1 species